rnacentral:rRNA from 1 species
GAUGAACGCUGGCGGCGUGCGUAAUACAUGCAAGUAGAACGCUGAAGCUUGGUGCUUGCACCGAGCGGAUGAGUUGCGAACGGGUGAGUAACGCGUAGGUAACCUGCCUCUUAGCGGGGGAUAACUAUUGGAAACGAUAGCUAAUACCGCAUAAAAGUCGACAUUGCAUGAUGUUGACUUGAAAGGUGCAAUUGCAUCACUAAGAGAUGGACCUGCGUUGUAUUAGCUAGUUGGUGAGGUAACGGCUCACCAAGGCGACGAUACAUAGCCGACCUGAGAGGGUGAUCGGCCACACUGGGACUGAGACACGGCCCAGACUCCUACGGGAGGCAGCAGUAGGGAAUCUUCGGCAAUGGGGGCAACCCUGACCGAGCAACGCCGCGUGAGUGAAGAAGGUUUUCGGAUCGUAAAGCUCUGUUGUAAGAGAAGAACGAGUGUGAGAGUGGAAAGUUCACACUGUGACGGUAACUUACCAGAAAGGGACGGCUAACUACGUGCCAGCAGCCGCGGUAAUACGUAGGUCCCGAGCGUUAUCCGGAUUUAUUGGGCGUAAAGCGAGCGCAGGCGGUUAGAUAAGUCUGAAGUUAAAGGCUGUGGCUUAACCAUAGUACGCUUUGGAAACUGUUUAACUUGAGUGCAGAAGGGGAGAGUGGAAUUCCAUGUGUAGCGGUGAAAUGCGUAGAUAUAUGGAGGAACACCGGUGGCGAAAGCGGCUCUCUGGUCUGUAACUGACGCUGAGGCUCGAAAGCGUGGGGAGCAAACAGG